rnacentral:rRNA from 1 species
UACGAGGGGGGCGAGCGUUGUUCGGAAUUAUUGGGCGUAAAGGGUGCGUAGGCGGUUUUGUAAGUCUUAUGUGAAAUCUAUGGGCUCAACUCAUAGACUGCAUGAGAAACUGCAGGGCUUGAGUAUGGGAGAGGUGAGUGGAAUUCCUGGUGUAGCGGUGAAAUGCGUAGAUAUCAGGAGGAACACCUGUGGCGAAAGCGGCUCACUGGACCAUAACUGACGCUGAUGCACGAAAGCUAGGGGAGCAAACAGGAUUAGAUACCCUGGUAGUCCUAGCCCUAAACGAUGACUGCUUGGUGUGACGGGUACCCAAUCCCGCCGUGCAGUAGCUAACGCGUUAAGCAGUCCGCCUGGGGAGUACGGUCGCAAGGCUGAA